rnacentral:rRNA from 1 species
UACGUAGGGGGCAAGCGUUAUCCGGAUUCACUGGGCGUAAAGGGAGCGUAGGUGGCAUGGCAAGCCAGAAGUGAAAACCCGGGGCUUAACCCCGCGGAUUGCUUUUGGAACUGUCAGGCUGGAGUGCAGGAGGGGCAGGCGGAAUUCCUGGUGUAGCGGUGAAAUGCGUAGAUAUCAGGAGGAACACCGGUGGCGAAGGCGGCCUGCUGGACUGUAACUGACACUGAGGCUCGAAAGCGUGGGGAGCAAACAGG